ensembl:lncRNA
CGGGGCGCGCGGUCAGGUGACUUGGGGCGCCAAGUUCCCGACACGGUGACCGCGGUCACUGCCGAGGCCCGGCGGACGCUGACCCUGGAGCGUAGUGGGGCUGAUCUCCUGGAACAAAGUUGCUGGGCCGGCGGCGGCCGGGCGAGAGAGCCAAAGGGGAGCCGGAGCGCUGCAAAGGCGCGGGCCGGAGGGCUGGCGCUGAUCUGCUCCCUUCUCCUGGGGAGAGCGGACACCCGGCUGCCCGGAGGCGAGCCUGUUCCCGGGGAGUUGGGGCGGCAACGAGCGAUCCAGCGGUCCUGCGCCCCACCCUCCCUACUCCUCCGCCUGCGCUGGGCUGCAACAAAGGGGCAGGCCCGCAGCGGGGAGGAGGAGGAGGAGGAGCCGGAGGAGCGAGGCGCUCUCGCGCACAAAGUUGUGGAGUCGUUUUUCCUCGGAGGAGGGAAGCGGGCAGCAGCAGCCGGCCGCGGGCUUUCUCCCGCCGAGGGGCGAGGAGGAGCCUCUGGCUCCAGAAGCCGAUUGGGGGAUCACGGGGAGCGGCGCCCCCCUUCUUUUGGGUCAUUUCUGCAGACGGAAAACUCUGUGGCGUUUGGCAAACUUGGUGCCUGCGCGCCCGUUCCAGGUUUGCGCUUUGACUGUUUUGUUUUUGGCGGAACUACCAGGCAGGAAGAUUGCACAAGUAAGGGGCGUUUUCAGUCGGGUGUCAAUUUCUUUUUCUUUCUUUCUUUCUUUUUUUUUUCUUUAAUUUCGGAUCUUGUCUGCUUCUCCAAGUUUUAUUUUUUAAAAAAAUACAUCGCACCACUAAACUCACACUCGCACACACCCCCGCGAUUACUCCGUCUCAAACUCCUAGAGGAGCCCUUGGCCAGCUCGGGGUGCGGCGGUGGCGGCCGGCAGGCCAGGCGGCCCGCGGGCACCAGGUAUGGAAGAGGGAGAGUCACACUAGGAUACAUUGUUCGUGGUGAAACUUUGAUUCUGUCUCCUGAAAACCAAAGAUGCUGCAUUUGGCAAUUAGAAGGAGUCAUCGUCUGCCUUAAGUUUACUCAAAUUCCUCUGGCCAUUAAUGGCAACAAGUAACCUCAGUGGCUAUCAGUACUUAAAUAGCCUUCUGUUAUUCUUCUUUCUCCCCAUUUUCCCCUGUACUCUGAUCACCUUUUCUGCUGUAUCUUUGGCAACUUGUAAGGGCUUUUCAUUAUCAAGAAGAGAAAAUUUGAAAAAUCACCUUGAGGAGAGUGUCAAGUGAAACAUUAUAGUGAAGAAAUAUUACUGAUAGUGUGCAAAUGGAAUAUAGUAGUGUGUAAAAAGUUUACUUUUCUCUUUUAUGGGUGAAUAAAGGCUUUGGGAAGCAUAGAAGUGGAGAUCUUGGCUAAGACCAAUUGUGAAGAAAAGCAUUAGACUUACCACUCCAAAGUGAUACACUGUAGAUCUUUCCAGGAAAGAGAAUUUUUCCUUGGGCAAACUUAAUUUUCCAUAAUAAACUUUUAUAGACAUUCUUCUGAACAAAGUUUUUGGUUCUUGAAUAUAAUAAAAUACACUUAAGAAUUUAGCAAAUCCUUUAUAGUUAUGUAGUUGAAUGAAAGAACGUAAUCACAUAAUAAUCCAUAAAUUUUUAGCAGUAGUAGAGCGUAUAAAAAAUGAAAAAAGUUUCUUAGACUGUCAUAAAAUCUGUCAAAUUGAUGAUCCAAUUCUUUAUAUCCAAUUCUCUCUCUUUUUUUUUGAGAUGAAGUCUUACCCACUCGUUCGUCAAGACUGGAGUGCAGUGGCAGCGAUCUCGACUCACUGCAACCUCCACCUCCUGAAUUCAACCAAUUUCCCUGCCUCAGCCUCCUGAGUAGCUGGGAUUGCAGAUGUUUGCCACCAUGCCUGGCUAAUUUUUAUAUUUUUAGUAGAGACAGGGUUUCGCCAUGUUAGCCAGACUGGUCUCAAACUCCUGAUCUCAAGUGUUAGCUGGGUUGGUCUUGAACUCUGGACCUCAAGUGAUCUGCCUGCCUCAGUCUUCCAAAGAGCUGGGAUUACAGGCAUGAGCCACCAUGCUGAGCCCAACUAUCUUUUUGUCAUCUCUGCUUAUAUAACUCAGAGGCACCUCAAGCUCUGUGAGUCCAAACCACAUUGAUGAUUCCUUUCUCCCAGCCCACUAUCCUCAGUGUUCCCCAGCUCAAUGACUCACACUUCACCUAACUGCUGAAGCCAAAACUGGGGAGUUGUUUUGUACAUUUUGCACAUUGGAUAUGAAUCCCUCAUAUCCAAUCAGUUCCCAAAUCCUAUUGACUUUCUUUGAUAUCUAAAUAUCCCACAUAUUCACCCAUUUCUUUCCAUCUAUUCUUGUUUAGACCACAAUUGUUUCCUGCCUAUAAUAUUAAAAUAGAAAGACUAGCACAAUAAACACCCAGAUGUCCUUUUUAUUUUAUUCUUUUAAAUUUUUAUUUACAUGGAGUAGAGACAAGGUCUCACCAUGUUGCCUAGGCUGGUCUCAAACUUCUGGGCUCAAGUAAUCCUCUUGCUUCAGCUUCCCAAAUUAGUGUGAUUACAGGUGUGAGCUACCUCGCCUAGCCCCAGAUGCCCUUAAACUAGUUUUCCCACUUACUUUAUUUUUUUUUUUUUGAGAUGGAGUUUCGCUCUUGUCACCCAGGCUGGAGUGUAAUAGCGCAAUUUUGGCUCACUAUAGCCUCUGCCUCCUGGAUUCAAGUGAUUCUCCUGCCUCAGUCUCCCAAGUAGCUGGGAUUACAGGCACCCGCCACCACACCCAGCUAAUUUUUGUAUUUUUUUUUAGUGGAGACGGGGUUUCACCAUGUUGGCCAGGCUGGUCUCGAACUCCUGAAGUCAGGUGAUCCACCUGCCUUGGCCUCCCUAAGUGCUGGGAUUAGAGGCGUGAGCCACCAUGCCCGGCCUAGUUUUCCCACUUAUUUUACAAUAUUUGCUGCAUCUUUCUGCUUGUCUGUGUGUAUAUGCAUAUAUACAUCUACAUACAUAUAUCAAACUAAAUAUGUAUGUAUCAAUAUAGACAGAUAUAUGCUAUUCUGUUUGAACUUAAGUUAAAGAUGCCAUCACACUUCAUUGCUAAAUAUUUCACCAUAUGUCUUACAAAGACAUUCUCCUGCUACAAUACCAUUAACUAAUGUUAAAGAAAUUUAACAUUGAUACAAUAAUAUUGUCUAUUACAUAGUCCAAAUUCAGAUUUUUCAAAUGAUCCUCAAAAUGUUUUAUUUUAAAAUUCUGAAUUCAAUCAAAGAUUACAUUUAGUUGUUAUGUUUGUUUAGUCUCCUUUAAUUCACAAAGUUCCCCCUCUCCCAGGUAAUUUUGGUUUUCAAGACACUGACAGUUUUGAAGAGACCAGGUCAUUUGUUUUGAAAACUAGCCACAGUCUAGAUUUGUCUGCUUAUGAGAAGAUUCAUGUUCAACAUCUUGGCAAGGAUAUUGUGUAGAUGAUGUGGUAAUUUUCCAUUGAAUUGCAUGAUGCCCCAUGAUUGGUUAUGUUAAUUUUGAUCACUUGGUUAAGGUUAGGAAUUUUUCCCCAACAUAUUACUAUGAAAACAUUCUCAGACAUACAGAAGAGUUGCAAGAAAUUUUCAUUCAACAUUCAUAUACCCAUGGCCUAGGUUCCUUAAUUAGCAUUUUGCUAUAUUCUGCCAUAGUCUUCACUGGUUCCCCACAUAUUACCAUGGUCUGCCUACAAGCCAUGAUUUUUCUUUUCUUUUCUUUUCUUUUUUUUUUGAGACAGAGUCUCACUCUUGUUGCCCAGGGCGGAGUGCAGUGGCAUGAUCUCAGCUCACUGCAACUUCCACCUCUCAGGUUCAAGCAGUUCUCCUGCAUUAGCCUCCUGAGUAGCUGGGAUUACAGGUGCACACCACCAUGCCUGGCUAAGUUUUUUUGGUAUUUUUAGUAGAGACGGAGUUUCACCAUGCUGGCCAGGCUGGUCUCGAACUCCUGACCUCGUGAUCCACCCGCCUCGGUCUCCCAAAGUGCUGGGAUUACAAGCGUGAGCCACCGCGCCCGGCCCUUGAUGAUCUUUUAAAAAGGCCAAUUUGACAAUGUUGGUUCCCUCUUUCAAACCAUCUACUGGCUCCCCAUUGCUCUUCAGAUAAAGACACAAACCCUUGACCUGUUCUCCAUGGUCCUGUCCCUGGUCCUGCCCAGCUUCCUCACCUGGUUCAACAGGUACACUUGUCUCUUGGCUGUCUUCCUUCCAGAAACACUGGCUUGUGCUCCACUCUUUGACUGCUCCAUGAUUCCUUCUGCCACUUUGCAUGGGAAGCUCUUACCUUUUCUCUUUGUGUUUCCCUUUUUGGCUAAUUAAAUUCUUAUCAUAUUUAAAGGCUUGGCUCAAAUGUCUCUUUAAGAAAGCCUUCUCUAAUUGCCCAGGACAGGUCAAAUUCCUCUGCUGUAUGCUCUUUGUACUUAGUAGAAUAUGCUUCUCCUUUGCUUCUUCUAUACUUCUCCAUUGUAUGAUUUGUAGUCUAUCAGUAUUGUAAUGAAAUAAUUCAUUGUAUAAUUAAUUGUUUAGUGUGUGUAAGCUCCAUAAUGGCAGAGGUUAUGUCUCUUGUUGAUAGUCAUAACCCCAUUCCCUGGCUCAGUGCUUUACACAUGAUAGGCACUCAAUAUUUGGUGAAUGAAUAGUUACUAUGCAUAAUUGUAUAUAAAAGAUAUAAAUAUGUUUUUUCAAGUCAGU